CUGCUGUGUUGGAGAGACGACCAACUGUUCCCGCUCUUUCAUGUGUUUCAGACCGCCGUCAGAUGGUCUGGCAUGCGGAUUGGACACAGGUGAGCUUGGAAUCCCUUUACACCAAGCUGCAGAGACCGGACUGAUAUUGAAACCACAUGUUCCAGUCCUUGGGACACAGACCUGUGGUCCCAAAAUGCAGAACCAAGAGAUACAAGGAGAGUUUUAUCUAACUAUAUCAACUGUGGCUGCACGGCAAACGAAUGGUUACCUAGAAGCGUGUUCACGCCCCCCAAGCUCUUCCCCUCUAAGCCCCUCCCUUACGUGCCAAAAGGAAGAUGUGUGCUACCUUGACUUCCUCUUCCAGUUGUCGUUUCAGGUCUUCAAUUUGUUGAGUGUAGGACUGUUUUCCUCUCGUGAGUUGGGACACCAGGGAAUCCUUCUCCUCAAGUUGCCUUGAAAGUUCACCUAAUGUUCAGAGAGGAUCGAGUUGAGAGUGUGUUGCCAUUUGAUGAAAUUGAAAUACAAUGCAUUGUGGGCCAUGUGCGCCGCUCUAGGGCAAUUUUUGUAACCAGAAGUGGCUCUAGCUAACUGUUAAUAUGCUAACUUGAGCACUAUGUAUCUAAAAAGGUUUAUGGCUAAAAUUCUCACAUGCUAUUUGGGAAUAUUGCUAGCGUGCCAACUGCUAGCUCACAAGCACCUAUUAUGAUAGCAAUGAGUAUUUAUCUAAGUUGAUUUUUAGUCAAAUGCUAGAAUGCUAACUGUUAGCAUGCUAACACCUAUCAUGGUAGCGGUAUGCAUCAAUGUCAAUUUAUACCUACAAAACUGCCUAAAAUGCUCACAUGCUAUGUGGGAAUAAUUAUAGCGUGAUAACUGUUAGCACGGGAGCACCUAGUGCUAUAGCAAUGAUUAUUUAUGUCAAUCUUACGCAAAUGUUAACAUGCUAAUUGUUAGCAUGCCAGCCCCUAGAAUGGCAGCGGUAUGUAUCUAGGUUUCUUAAUGAAAAUGACUAAAAUUCUCUUAUGCUAUCUGGGAAUAUUGUUAGCGUGUUAACAACUGUUGACACGGUAACACCUAGUAUGAUAGCAAUGAAGUUGAUUGUUAGUUAACAUGCUAACAAUAAGCAUGCUCACACCUAGCAUGAUUGUGUAGUAUCUAUUUUAGUUAACAUCCAAAAUUGUUGCCAUUGUGGGCCAUGGGCGGCGCUCUAGGGCAAUAGCGUUUGUUCAUAUCUGAGUUGUAGCUCAUACAUGACGUAUCAAGCCACACCAAAGAGAAAAGCGCUGGACCAUACCGAGACAAGGGUGUAAAACCUCCUAAUUUUACGGCUUAAAGAGAAGACCGAUGUGACGGGAGUGGCCAAUGCCAAUACGCACCAUUUUUGGUCAUGAUUUGCUUGCCAAGAGCGUACUAUAAGCAUACACAGAGGGCAAACAUCUUCACGUUUUUUGGGUGUGGCAUAAAUAACUGAAACGUAUCGCCACGGCAAGUUGGGUGCAAGAGUGAAUGCCGCUUAAGAAGCCUUAGCUUGUCAGAAGUUCCCCCAAACUACCGUUCUCAGUUUGAAGUUUUGCUUUGUGCAUGGUGAAGUCAUUGAUGGUACGUUGGCCCUCUUCUGCCUUGGCUUUAUAUUCACUCAUUUGGUCUUCCAGGGACCUGCACAUUUUCUCCAAAUGAUUCUGAAAAGAAAGAAAAACCCUUUUGUGUUUGGAAAGGUGAAACUGCUGACUAAGUAAUCAGAGCAAUCAUAUCUUUCGUCACCUUAGACUUUACAGUUUGUUCCAUGUUGGAAACCACAUCAUCCAGUUCCAGCCUGAGUUCGCUCUUCUCCUUUUCCAGUUUCUGCUUGACUCUCUGCAGGUUGUCAAUCUGCUCCCCCAGGUCGGCAACACUAUCAGCUUGUUUCUUCCUCAGUGUGGCUGCGGUGGCUUCAUGCUGCAGAGUGGCCUCUUCCAGGUCCCUGCGCAGCUUCUGGAACUCGGCCUCCCGCUUCUUGUUCAUCUCGAUCUGGGCGGAUGUCGCUCCGCCGGCUUCCUCCAGCCUCUCGCUGAUCUCCUCCAGCUCUCUGGCCAGGUCUGCUCUCUGCUUCUCCACCUUGGCUCGAGCCGCUCGCUCGGCCUCCAGCUCUUCCUCCAGCUCCUCGAUACGAGCCUGGACCAAUCACAUUUACAUUUGCAAUCAGUGUUGAUGAAUCUAUGAAACUAUGUGUGAAAUAUGCCCAUGUUUACAGUAUAUUAUGUACAGACUGUAUCAAACAUAUGUAUGUAUUAACAGCUUUUUCAAUGUAAAUAUCUCAUGUAAGAGUUAGCGUAUGACACCACAUUUGAAUAUGAUGACAAUAUUACCUGCAACUCCUUCAAUUUUUUCUGGAGCUGAGCACUCACGGCCUGCUCGUCCUCUACUUUGGCAGCAAGCUGGUUCAUUUCAAAAUCUUUCCUGUCAAGGAAGUAUAUACCUAUCAGAUGUAUAUACCACAGAAUACCUCACCACUUUAUGCCUAUGAUAUCAAAAUAUCUGAAUAUUUAAGCAGAUGUUUUGUAUUUCGUGCCUAAAGUAAGCAUUUCAUUAAGCAUUAAGCUAGUAAGUGUAAAAAUACAAAUGCAAUCAUUAUAUGAUGUUUAUUGCGUUAUUGAGACAUCCAUUCUUAUUACACUAUACCCUAAAUAUGUAAAUAUGUACACCAGCCAUGACAAACUAGCUCAAAAGUGAUGUCAUCGGGGUGACACCUCUCAGCUAAAGCAGAGAAAACAAAGUAAACCAAAUAGUAGUCAGGCCAAAAUGUUGUGUUGCUGCUGGAUGUUCAAAGUUAAAAACGUUGACUAAAAGGAAUCAGUGUAGCGACGUGCGACUGCAUUAUUAUUAUUAUUAUACCAGCUACGUAUUCUUCUGCUGUGAGUACCUAACUAGUAGUAACGCCUUACUUUUUCAGCCUCUCUUCAAGUUGCUGCUUGUCAUUUUCCAGGUCCAUAACGCUCUCUUGAGCUAAUUUGAGGUCGCCUUCAAGCUUCCGCUUUGCUCUUUCGAGGUCCAUGCGCACUUUCUUCUCUUGCUCGAGGGAUCCUUCCAGCUGUCGGACGUCAGACACGACUUGUUUGUUCACUUGGUAUUGAUUAUUAUGAUUAUCAUUUCCGUGUCAUCUUUCUUACAUCAUCCACUUGCUGCUCCAGUUUAGACUUGGCCUUGGUCAGAGUGUUGACUUUGUCUUCUUCACUCUGAAGGUCAUCCAGGGUUUGCUGAUGAGCUUCUUGCAAGGCUUUCUUCUCCUUGGUCAGCUUGGCAAUGAUUUCUUCCAGCGCUGCCAUUUCUUCAGUCAGGUUCUUCACCUGUGUACGAUACAGCAAGUUCAGCUUUCAGCUCAUGCAUUCAUGUCUUAUGGAGAGAAAAGGAUGACCUUGUUCUCGGUGGCGUGCUUCUCCUUCUCCACUUUUGCAAGGGUUAACUCUAAGUCAUCAAUGUCCUUCUUCAACUCAGAGCACUCGUCCUCCAGUUUUCUCUUCUUGGCAGUUAAUUCAGCGUUCAUCUCCUCCUCGUCCUCCAGUCUUUCUGUCAGCUCUUUGAUUUUGGCCUCCAGCUGAAUCUUGCUCUUGAUGAGCCCUUCGCAUCUUUCUUCAGCGUCACAAAGAUUAUCUUGCUCCUGUUGUCAAAAAGCCGUAAAGAUUUACUUUGCAAUGGAAAGGGUUUUGCGGGACGACGGUAAACUUACAGCCUGAACUUGAAUCUGCAAGUCGUUCUUCUCUUGGAGAAGUGACACCAUUUUUUCCUCCAGUUCUUUUUUCCGCGCUUCUGAUUUGGCAAAAGCCUCUUUUAAUUUGGCAAACUCUUCCUUCAUGUUUGCCAUCUCCUUUUCUGCUUCAGCAGAUCUCAGAAGAGGUUUGAUCUUAAAGUACAGUUUCAUCCAAGGCCAAUUCUUCACCCCCAUGAAGGCACGAACGUUCCACUGGAUCACGAGGAGUGCAUCCCUGGUCAUGAAGAUUCGUAUGAGAUACUGUAAAGGACUUAUUCUGUGUUGAUUAAUUAAAGUGUGUGCACGUACCUGCGUUCAACAAUUUUCUGGAAUUCUAUUCUUGCCAGAACACCACGCGAUCUUGCCUGGAUUCUUGUAAUUAUGAGGGCUAAACGAUCAUCUCGCAUCUCUUCAAGUAGACCAAGGAGCCCUGCUUUGAAGAACACCUGAUUUGUUGAAUAAACAAUUAGAGUCAGUAUAGUAACAAGUCCAAAUUGUUAAAAUUAUUAUUGGCAGAAUGGUUUGAGUUAUUUGAAGAAUGUGGAAUUGUGGGAAUUUUAGUCACCAGAAUUGGCAAAAUGCUAACUGUUAACAUGCUACCUUGACCACUAUAUAUCUUAAAAAGUUUAUACCUCUGAAUGUGGCUACAAUUCUCACAUGCUAUUUGGGAAUAUUGCUAGCGUGCCAACUGUUGGCUCACAAGCACCUAUUAUGAUAGCAAUGAGUACUUCAUCAGUCAAAUGCGAGACUGCUAACGGUUAGCAUGCUAACACCUAUCAUGGUAGCGGUAUGCAUCAAUGUCAAUUUAUACCUACAAAAAUGCCUAAAAUGCUCACAUGCUAUGUGGGAAUAAUCAUAGCGUGAUAACUGUUAGCACGGGAGCACCUAGUGUGAUAGCAAUGAUUAUUUAUGUAAGUAUUAUUCAAAUGUUAACAUGCUAACUGUUAGCAUGCCAGCCCCUAGUAUGGCAGAGGUAUGUAUUUAAGUUUAUAGCUAUGGAAAUGGCUAAAAUGCUUACAUGCUAUCUAGGAAUAUUGUCAGCGUGUUAACAACACGGUAGCAUUUAGCAUGAUAGUAAUGAAGUUGAUUGUUAGUCAACAUGCUAACAGUAGGCAUGCUCACACCUAGCAUGAUAGUAUAGUAUCUAUGUCUCAAUGUAAGUGUGUACAUAUACAAAUGGCUAAAAUGCUAACUGUUAAUGUUGGAACGGUGUGACUAGAUUUUAAAAAGUGAAAUGACAAAAAACAGUGGAAUAAGAAUAGUAAAUACUAAAUGAUUGCUUGGGUCAGCAUUCAGACAAUUACCAAGAUAUAUUUUGUUCCUGGAGAUUUGAACCCUCAAUCUCCUGACUGCAAGGCUAAUAUGCCAACCAAUAACCAGUAUGUAACCAAAAUUACAGUUGUAAUGCUAAAAAUACAAUUAUAUAGUAUAUAUUUUACAUGAUCAAUUACAAUUCUUACCUUGGUAUGGCCCAGUCUGUACUGGUUAUGAUCUAUGUCCAAAGAACCUAAAAGCUUCUCAGAUGCUUUCUUGUUGUCAAUGAACUGUCCCUCAGGGAUAGAACUGGGAUUUAGAAUACGGUACCUUUUGAGAGGAAGGUAGAACUUACUAGCAGUUAUAAUUCACAAGGAAUCAAAUACUUACACUGUGCAUGUGCACGGGGGAUGAUAUUUUUCAUUCUGUCAUGUAUCCACACGUUUGAAACUACCUCUGUUUGAAAUCUCCGUAGAGGAUCCGGUUGGGGAAGCCCUUCCUGCAAAUCCUGAUGCCUUCCAGCACACCGUUACAACGCAGCUGGUGCAUCACCAGAGGGUUCUCCAUGGCCCCAGGAGUCUUGGUCUCGUUGGGGAUGAUGCAACGUACAAAGUGGGGACUUAAAGAAUCCGGACUGACGUUCCUAAGCCGACUUGUCAGAUUACUGACCUUCCCCUUCUGGGUCUGAGCGGUGACUUUGUCGCCCUCCCGGCUGACGAUGGAUGCCUUCACGUACUCCUCAUCCGUGUCAGGGACGAAACAUUCCUUCUUCAUGUCAAACGGACGAGUCUGAGCCUCCAGACGCUCCCGGUCUGAUUUCCUCAGGACAAAGAUAACUGUGUGAGAUGCCUGCUAAAAACCUCCCACUGAUUGAGGAGAACAGCCACAGAGGCGUCGCCCGCGUGGAGGAUCAGCAGCAGCACAUGUCGGCCUCACCCCCCCCCCCCCCCCCAAGUAAACACAAG